rnacentral:rRNA from 1 species
CCUACGGGAGGCAGCAGUGGGGAAUCUUAGACAAUGGGCGCAAGCCUGAUCUAGCCAUGCCGCGUGAGUGAUGAAGGCCUUAGGGUCGUAAAGCUCUUUCGCCAGGGAUGAUAAUGACAGUACCUGGUAAAGAAACCCCGGCUAACUCCGUGCCAGCAGCCGCGGUAAU